UACGUAGGGUGCGAGCGUUAAUCGGAAUUACUGGGCGUAAAGCGUGCGCAGGCGGUUCGUUGUGUCGGCGGUGAAAGCCCCGGGCUUAACCUGGGAAUGGCCGUCGAAACUGGCGAACUGGAGUGUGGCAGAGGGGGGUGGAAUUCCGCGUGUAGCAGUGAAAUGCGUAGAGAUGCGGAGGAACACCGAUGGCGAAGGCAAUCCCCGUGGACCUGUACUGACGCUCAUGCACGAAAGCGUGGGGAGCAAACAGG
rnacentral:rRNA from 1 species